rnacentral:rRNA from 1 species
CCUACGGGAGGCAGCAGUAGGGAAUCUUCGGCAAUGGGGGCAACCCUGACCGAGCAACGCCGCGUGAGUGAAGAAGGUUUUCGGAUCGUAAAGCUCUGUUGUAAGUCAAGAACGGGUGUGGGAGUGGAAAGUUCACACUAUGACGGUAGCUUACCAGAAAGGGACGGCUAACUACGUGCCAGCAGCCGCGGUAAUACGUAGGUCCCGAGCGUUGUCCGGAUUUAUUGGGCGUAAAGCGAGCGCAGGCGGUUUGAUAAGUCUGAAGUUAAAGGCUGUGGCUCAACCAUAGUUCGCUUUGGAAACUGUCAAACUUGAGUGCAGAAGGGGAGAGUGGAAUUCCAUGUGUAGCGGUGAAAUGCGUAGAUAUAUGGAGGAACACCGGUGGCGAAAGCGGCUCUCUGGUCUGUAACUGACGCUGAGGCUCGAAAGCGUGGGGAGCGAACAGGAUUAGAUACCCUGGUAGUCCACGCCGUAAACGAUGAGUGCUAGGUGUUGGAUCCUUUCCGGGAUUCAGUGCCGCNGCUACGCAUAGACACUCCGCCGUCGGGAGGUACGACCGCGACGGUUAGAACGUACGAAAGGAAAGUUAGACGGCGUGAGACGUAGCCGACGGACGACGACGAGGGAGGUUAGGG